rnacentral:lncRNA from 1 species
GCCUCCUCCCUGCUCGUUGGACAGUGUCUCUGGACGUGUGUCGAUGGCAGAGGUCUCUGACUUCAGGAUCACCCUCCAGGAGUGUGAGUCUGGCUGGGCCUGGAGGACACCUGGGGCUGUGUGGGAAACGCCCCUGUGUGGUGGGUGGCUGUCACCGCCCACCCCAAGGAGUAUCUGGCGUCAGCACUCUGUCCUGGGUUUUCCCGUGUGCUUGGAGAAUCGUGUCCAGGACGCUGGGCUCAGGACGGCCCCUUGGAGUGGGGUUUGGAUGGAGAGGAUGGGAGAGAAUGGACCGAGGUGGUGGGAGGCCGUGGCCUGCUGGAGUGAGGCUGUCCUGAGCAGGGUCUGGGGUUCUGCUGGUGACCUGUUUGAAGGCGCAGAGGGAGCUUCCCAGACUGAGAGGUCGUUGAGGUGGGCAGGGCCCAGGACCCUUCACUCUGCCGGCUCGUCGGCCUCUGGCGGACUUGGCCUCUGGACGGUUCUAGGCUCGUCUCUGGGGGAAGCUGGUUUCUAGGGACUUCUGCCCUUGAGGUGCUAUGUGGCCAUGCUCCCAGCUCUGGGCCCUGCUGGUGUCCUGGGUUGAGCUCCUCCUGCCACCCUGCCACCUUGUGGCUGCAGACAGGGCCCUUAUGAGAGCCAGGGGUCACCUUGACCUCCCCAGACCCAGGGAUCCUCAAAGGACAAUGGGGGCCGGGAGCCCAGAAUCACCCCAGGCCUGGGAGCUGCUGGCUCUUCUCCUCUGGUCCAGCCCCACUUCCGUGCAGAAGUGACCAGCACUUUCAGGCCUUUCCCAGAGCCUGCGUGCACCAGGUGCCCACCUGCCUGCCUGACCCGUUUUCCUGGGGGACAGAAUGGCUGGGUUGUGCCUCAGGACUCGGCUUUCUCCCUGCCUACCACUCUCAGCAAAGCCUUGCUCCACGGACAGCACUGCUGGACCAUGGAGGCCCUCAGGUCCUGGGCUCCCCCUGGGUUUUGGGGGCCCCGGCAGGGUCUCACCUGCAACACGGGUGAGGGAGCUCGGCUCAGAGAGGGACUGCGGGAGGCUCAGAGGGGAGGCCCUGGGGCUGGACUGGAGGAGCGUUGUCCUGUGUCAGGCAGAGGCCGCUGGGGCCGUGGGUCCUCCAGAUGGUCCCUCAGCCAACUCUCCCAUGGCCCUUGGAAUUUCUGACCCUC